ACAUUUACCCGACAGGAGAGAUCCCACAACCACGAAGCUGGUUUGCCCAGGUCGAGGCUUCUCCGUGCCCUCUGGAUGGCAGACCCCUGCGAUUUCCCCAAAUGCGGGAAACUCGACUGCAUCAUUGGUGGUGGGGGGAGGGGGUUGCACUCCACCUUCCCCC
ensembl:snRNA U1 U1 spliceosomal RNA